rnacentral:antisense_RNA from 1 species
CUUGAACGAGCCUAGCCACAACGGCCGUUCGGGGGUCCGUCCCCGGCCGUAGGUGUCCAGCAGCGCCUGCGCCUC